rnacentral:rRNA from 1 species
GUGGGCAGAUUACCAUGCAGUCGAACGCUGAAGCACCAGCUUGCUGGUGUGGAUGAGUGGCGAACGGGUGAGUAAUACGUGAGUAACCUGCCCUUGACUCUGGGAUAAGCCCGGGAAACUGGGUCUAAUACUGGAUGCUACAUGUCACCGCAUGGUGGUGUGUGGAAAGGGUUUACUGGUCUUGGAUGGGCUCACGGCCUAUCAGCUUGUUGGUGAGGUAAUGGCUCACCAAGGCGACGACGGGUAGCCGGCCUGAGAGGGUGACCGGCCACACUGGGACUGAGACACGGCCCAGACUCCUACGGGAGGCAGCAGUGGGGAAUAUUGCACAAUGGGCGAAAGCCUGAUGCAGCGACGCCGCGUGAGGGAUGACGGCCUUCGGGUUGUAAACCUCUUUCAGCAGGGAAGAAGCCACAAGUGACGGUACCUGCAGAAGAAGCGCCGGCUAACUACGUGCCAGCAGCCGCGGUAAUACGUAGGGCGCAAGCGUUGUCCGGAAUUAUUGGGCGUAAAGAGCUCGUAGGCGGUUUGUCGCGUCUGCUGUGAAAGCCCGGGGCUUAACCCCGGGUGUGCAGUGGGUACGGGCAGACUAGAGUGCAGUAGGGGAGACUGGAAUUCCUGGUGUAGCGGUGGAAUGCGCAGAUAUCAGGAGGAACACCGAUGGCGAAGGCAGGUCUCUGGGCUGUUACUGACGCUGAGGAGCGAAAGCAUGGGGAGCGAACAGGAUUAGAUACCCUGGUAGUCCAUGCCGUAAACGUUGGGCACUAGGUGUGGGGGACAUUCCACGUUUUCCGCGCCGUAGCUAACGCAUUAAGUGCCCCGCCUGGGGAGUACGGCCGCAAGGCUAAAACUCAAAGGAAUUGACGGGGGCCCGCACAAGCGGCGGAGCAUGCGGAUUAAUUCGAUGCAACGCGAAGAACCUUACCAAGGCUUGACAUAUACCGGAUCGUUCCAGAGAUGGUUCUUCCCCUUUGGGGUCGGUAUACAGGUGGU